GAUGAACGCUGGCGGCGUGCUUAACACAUGCAAGUCGAACGAUGAAAGCGGGAGCUUGCUCCUGCUGGAUUAGUGGCGAACGGGUGAGUAACACGUGAGCAAUCUGCCCCGAACUCUGGGAUAAGCGUUGGAAACGACGUCUAAUACCGGAUACGACGCGCGAAGGCAUCUUCUGCGCGUGGAAAGAAUUUCGGUUCGGGAUGAGCUCGCGGCCUAUCAGCUAGUUGGUGAGGUAACGGCUCACCAAGGCGACGACGGGUAGCCGGCCUGAGAGGGUGACCGGCCACACUGGGACUGAGACACGGCCCAGACUCCUACGGGAGGCAGCAGUGGGGAAUAUUGCACAAUGGGCGAAAGCCUGAUGCAGCAACGCCGCGUGAGGGACGACGGCCUUCGGGUUGUAAACCUCUUUUAGUAGGGAAGAAGCGAAAGUAACGGUACCUGCAGAAAAAGCACCGGCUAACUACGUGCCAGCAGCCGCAGUAACAC
rnacentral:rRNA from 1 species